rnacentral:rRNA from 1 species
AAUAAGAAGUCGUAACAAGGUUUCCGUAGCUGAACCUGCGGAAGGAUCAUUGUUGAUGCUUGCAAAACGACCCGUGAACCAUUGACAUUGUAACAUGAGCGACGCAGGUGGCCCAUUGGGUCCCUGUUGUUGAGCAACAAAAUCCGGCGCGACAUGCGCCAAGGAAUCUAAAUUAGAAUAGAAAUGACAAGUUGAAGUGGCUGGUCCACUUCAUUGUGUUGCAUUUCUGAAUACUUGAACGACUCUCGGCAACGGAUAUCUCGGCUCUCGCAUCGAUGAAGAACGUAGCGAAAUGCGAUACUUGGUGUGAAUUGCAGAAUCCCGUGAACCAUCGAGUUUUUGAACGCAAGUUGCGCCCGAGACUUCGGUCGAGGGCACGUCUGCCUGGGCGUCACAUGAUGCACCGCAACCCAUUAUUUGCAUGUGGGAAUGGAGAUUGGCCUCCCGUGACAAGUGCACGGUUGGCUAAAAUAGCAGCCUCGAUGCUUGGAAGACGCGAUCAGUGGUGGUUGAUGAGAACCUUGUCAAACAAGUGACGCGUUUGGAUCGGCACGAAUCGAGGUGGAGCACCCUUUUCAUAUACUUUGCGACCCCAGGUCAGGCGGGGCCACCCGCUGAGUUUAAGCAUAUCAAUAAGCGGAGGAAA